AUUGAACGCUGGCGGCAGGCCUAACACAUGCAAGUCGAGCGAGCGGCGGACGGGUGAGUAAUGUAUGGGGACUGCCCGAUAGAGGGGGAUCACUACUGGAAACGGUGGCUAAUACCGCAUACUAUCGGAUAACCCAUAUGGGAUUAGCUAGUAGGUGGGGUAAAGGCUCACCUAGGCGACGAUCUCUAGCUGGUCUGCGAGGAUGAUCAGUCACACAGGGACUGAGACACGGCCCAGACUCCAAGGGAGGAAGCCGGGGGGAAUAUGGCACAAUGGGCGCAAGCUGGAAGCAGCCCUGCCGGGUUUAUGAAGAAGGCCUUAGGGUUGUAAAGUACUUUCAGCGGGGAGGCGUUACCCGCAGAAGAAGCACCGGCUAACUCCGUGCCAGCAGCCGCGGUAAUAC
rnacentral:rRNA from 1 species